UAGGGAAUCUUCGGCAAUGGGGGGAACCCUGACCGAGCAACGCCGCGUGAGUGAAGAAGGUUUUCGGAUCGUAAAGCUCUGUUGUUAAGGAAGAACGAGUGUGAGAAUGGAAAGUUCAUACUGUGACGGUACUUAACCAGAAAGGGACGGCUAACUACGUGCCAGCAGCCGCGGUAAUACGUAGGUCCCGAGCGUUGUCCGGAUUUAUUGGGCGUAAAGCGAGCGCAGGCGGUUAGAUAAGUCUGAAGUUAAAGGCAGUGGCUCAACCAUUGUAGGCUUUGGAAACUGUUUAACUUGAGUGCAGAAGGGGGGAGUGGAAUUCCAUGUGUAGCGGUGAAAUGCGUGGAUAUAUGGAGGAACACCGGUGGCGAAAGCGGCUCUCUGGUCUGUAACUGACGCUGAGGCUCGAAAGCGUGGGGAGCGAACAGG
rnacentral:rRNA from 1 species